CCUAUUAUUUUAAAUUAGUAAGAUUUAAUUCUUGAAAAUUAAUAGAUAAAUUCUUUAAAUUUAAAAAAUUUGGCGGUAUUUAAAUUUAUUUAGAGGAACUUGUUUUUUAAUUUGAUAAUACUCGUUAAUCUUACUUAAUUUUUUUUAAAUUUGUAUAUCGUUGUUAUAUUGAUUAUCUUUAAAAAGAGGUUAAUUUUCUAAGUAUAUAAUUAAUAUUAUAAAUCAAAUCAAGGUGCAGUUUAUAGUUAAGGGUAAAUGAGUUACAAUAAAAAAUAUUUAUGAUGAAUUAAAGUUUUAAAUAAUUUUAUGAAGGUGGAUUUAAGAGUAAAAAUUUUAAGUUAAAGAUUUUGAUAGUUAAAUUUUAAAUAUGUACAUAUUGCCCGUCGCUUUCGUUAUUAAAAUGGAAUAA
rnacentral:rRNA from 1 species